AUUGAACGCGGGCGGCAGGCUUUACACAUGCAAGUCGAACGGCAGCACAGGGAGCUUGCUCCUGGGUGGCGAGUGGCGAACGGGUGAGUAAUGUAUCGGAACGUGCCUGGUAGUGGGGGAUAACUACUCGAAAGAGUGGCUAAUACCGCAUGAGAUCUUUGGAUGAAAGCGGGGGACCUUCGGGCCUCGUGCUACUGGAGCGGCCGAUAUCAGAUUAGGUUGUUGGUGGGGUAAAGGCCUACCAAGCCUGCGAUCUGUAGCUGGUCUGAGAGGACGACCAGCCACACUGGGACUGAGACACGGCCCAGACUCCUACGGGAGGCAGCAGUGGGGAAUUUUGGACAAUGGGCGCAAGCCUGAUCCAGCAAUGCCGCGUGCAGGACGAAGGCCUUCGGGUUGUAAACUGCUUUUGUACAGAACGAAAAGUCUCUGGCUAAUAUCUAGAGAUCAUGACGGUACUGUAAGAAUAAGCACCGGCUAACUACGUG
rnacentral:rRNA from 1 species